rnacentral:rRNA from 1 species
AGUACGGCCGCAAGGUUAAAACUCAAAUGAAUUGACGGGGGCCCGCACAAGCGGUGGAGCAUGUGGUUUAAUUCGAUGCAACGCGAAGAACCUUACCUGGUCUUGACAUCCACGGAAGUUUUCAGAGAUGAGAAUGUGCCUUCGGGAACCGUGAGACAGGUGCUGCAUGGCUGUCGUCAGCUCGUGUUGUGAAAUGUUGGGUUAAGUCCCGCAACGAGCGCAACCCUUAUCCUUUGUUGCCAGCGGUCCGGCCGGGAACUCAAAGGAGACUGCCAGUGAUAAACUGAGGAAGGUGGGGAUGACGUCAAGUCAUCAUGGCCCUUACGACCAGGGCUACACACGUGCUACAAUGGCGCAUACAAAGAGAAGCGACCUCGCGAGAGCAAGCGGACCUCAUAAAGUGCGUCGUAGUCCGGAUUGGAGUCUGCAACUCGACUCCAUGAAGUCGGAAUUGCUAGUAAUCGUGGAUCAGAAUGCCACGGUGAAUACGUUCCCGGGCCUUGUACACACCGCCCGUCACACCAUGGGAGUGGGUUGCAAAAGAAGUAGGUAGCUUAACCUUCGGGAGGGCGCUUACCACUUUGUGAUUCAUGACUGGGGUGAAGUCGUAACAAGGUAACC